UUAGUGCUUACUGGCUGAGACCGUGAGACGGCACUUGGCUAAGGCCUAAGGCUGUAAGGCAUAAUACAUUUUUUAGAUCUAGAUCGAUCUGAAAGUCUGAGACUGAGACAGAGAGACGACGACGACACGACUUCGAUAGUUCAUAGUUCGAUCGAUUGACCAUGCCGACUGUGAAGCUUCUUCUCUUCGUCCCGAAUCCAAAUUCUCAUUCUGUGAGACCAAUUUCUCUCUGAAAUCUGGGUAAUUUUCUCUCUCUAUAUAUAAUAUAUCUCAAGGUUGCCACAAAUUUGUCUUCUUCUUCUUCUGCGUGAAAUGGAAUGUUCACUACUGGGUUAAAAUAGGAAAGCAACAUCUAUUGAUUUGAAAACAUGUCUGCAUAAAGUAAAAGUUAAACCCUGUAAUGAGUUUCAAUGAUUCAUGACUUCAUGUUAUGAAUGGUGGACUAGUCCUAUGAAUUCAGUACCAACAGAUAUCACCUAGUUUUAUUUUGUUGCAAGUCCUCGUGUGUCUGUUUUCUACUUUAAUUCAUAGACUAACUUGCACUUUUGAUUCAGAGCAUAUGUUUUUUAUUUUAUAAGAAUUUCUGUCCCUAUUUUUAUUUAUAAGAAUUUCUGCCCCUGUUUUAUCUAGUAACCAUUAUUGGCACUCUGCUUGAUCUUACAAUAUACUGCUUUUUUCAAAUAACAACUGCUAACUCUCCAUUUGUCAUUAGCCUGAAGCCUAGUUAGGUCAUUUAUAGUAAUUGGACUAAUAAGUUGAUUGUCAGUCCUUAAUACAAUGAUACCACUGCAUGUCUGACGAAUUGUUAUGCUUCUUUAAACCUGCAUAUCGCCUAAUUGAUUCUAGAUUUCAGAUAGCCUAGAAGAUGAAACACUUUUUAUGUUUCAAUUAACAAAUUGUUAUGCUUCUUUAAAACUGCAUAUCGCCUAAUUGAUCUACUUCUCUUAUUCCCCAGUUCUCGUCAUUUGUAAUACAUGUCCAUUGAUCCUUGGUAUAUUCUGGGUAAUCGAGUUGUUUAAUUGAGUAUAUGUUAAUUGUUUAAAAAUAUUUUUUGUUUGUAGACUUCUUAUGGAUCGACGGGAUCGUUUAAUUUUGGGUAUUGAACUAUUGAUAUUUUAAAUUGGUAUUUUUAAUAUAGAUGAUGGGUUGACGGACGACCAACUUUUGGUACCGCUAGUUGCAAAUCAAGAGUCAAAGGGUUCUAACAUAGGCGAAAUUACAAGGAGUGACUAGACAUUACUCACUAGUAAGUACUUUAUUUUUUAUGGACUAUUUCUUUGAUUUUUGUUUGAUAUAUUUUUCAAGUACUAAGAAAAGCUAAUCUUGUGUUGUAAUUGUGUAGUAAAAAUGUAGAAUUGAAUGCUUUGUUAAAUAGUAUUGUGAUUUACUUUGUUAAAAAUGUAGAAUUGAAUCAGUUCACUAAGACCCUUGACAAGAAUCUUGGUCAGCUGUUUAACCUUAUUUUAUUUGUCAUUUGGUUUAUUUUAGUGGGUUUGGUUGUAGGAAACUAUUGCUUUAGUGUAAUGGCUAAUUUUGUAGAAUUUAUGAGUAUUGUGUUAUAAUGUCUAUAUGAAUUAUGAAGAAUGCUAUAGGUUUUGUUGAAAUGAGUUUAAUGCCAAUUAUUUAUUUUAAGUAUUUGUAUAAUUAUAUUUGAAACAUAUUCUCAGGCUUCUGCUAGAUGUACUGUUAUAGAGUAGUCCUUCACUUUGUCUGUUGCUUUUAAGUUCUAUUACACAUUUAUAAAUCUUUUUGCACAGGAUGUCGAGCCAUUUUUUUACUAGCAGUCUAGCAGAUGGGAUUGCAAGUAUGAAGUAUGCAUUUGGACUUUGGAGCUUAUUUCUGUAAUUCUGUUGAUGGUGACAUACUGACAUGUCAAAUGAAAUGAAUAGUCUUGGACAUCUUGGUUUGAAUUUGUGUACUUUGUAUCAUUGUAUGUAUUAGUAAUAUGUUACUCAUUUAGUCAUUUCCUUCUGAAUUUGUGUACUUUGUAUCAUUGUAUGUAUUAUUAAUAUGUUACAGGUUUUUAAAAGUAUUUAUAGGUUUUUAAAAGUAAAAAAAAAAAAUUGAAAAAGCUCGCGGGCCAGCCCAACCCGGGCCACGGGCCGCUUAACUUCAG
rnacentral:lncRNA from 1 species